GAUGAACGCUGGCGGCGUGCCUAAUACAUGCAAGUCGAGCGAACAGAUAAGGAGCUUGCUCCUUUGAAGGUAGCGGCGGACGGGUGAGUAACACGUGGGUAACCUAACUAUAAGACUGGGAUAACUUCGGGAAACCGGAGCUAAUACCGGAUAACAUUUAGAACCGCAUGGUUCUAAAGUGAAAGAUGGUUUUGCUAUCACUUAUAGAUGGACCCGCGCCGUAUUAGCUAGUUGGUAAGGUAACGGAUUACCAAGGCUACGAUACGUAGCCGACCUGAGAGGGUGAUCGGCCACACGGGAACUGAGACUCGGCCCAGACUCCUACGGGAGGCAGCAGUAGGGAAUCUUCCGCAAGGGGCGUAAGCCUGACGGUGCAACGCCGCGUGAGUGAUGAAGGGUUUCGGCUCGUAAAACUCUGUUAUUAGGGAAGAACAAAUGUGUAAGUACCUGUGCACAUCUUGACGGUACCUAGUCAGAAAGCCACGGCUAACUACGUG
rnacentral:rRNA from 1 species